UCUUCAGUGAGGUAUAUCCUUACCUGUUACUCCAUCCGUGGAGUUGCAGAAAAUGAUGAAUGGGGCAGCAUGAGAUAUGAUUAAUGUCUCCGUUUUGAAGGGAACUGCAACACCCUUCAAGACCCGUUCUGAU